rnacentral:rRNA from 1 species
GAAGGAAAGUUGCAAAGUACUCCGGAGAGAGAGUUAAAGAGGACGUGAAACCGAUACGAUGGAAGCAUACAGAGCCAGUUGCAAUAUUAUUAAAAAUAUUUUUAAUAAUUUUAAGCAUGGGUAUAUUGAUUAAUAAUUAAUUAUAUUAAUAAAGAGUGAUAAAAAUAUAUUUUUUGUUAACUUUAAUAAUAUAAUUAUUAUUAUUAAUUAAUAUUUUUAUUUAUUAAUUUAUAUUAAUAAUAAUAUAUAUAUUAUAUUUAUAUAUAAACACAUGUGUUAAAUAUAAAUUUUUUUUAAUAUAUAUAUUAUUAUUAUAUAUUAAUAUUCCUAUGUAAUCCUGGUAUGCUGUAUGUCCCGUCUUGAAACACGGACCAAGGAGUGUAUUACUAUGGCAAGUUAUUAAUAUUAUUAAUAUUAUAAACAUAAUGAAAAUAAAUAAUAUCUCAGAUCAUUAUUAUAUUAUAAUAAUGCGCAUGAGAGACGUAAAUAUAUGAUUUUAUUAUCAUUUUUUGCAGUUAUAGUCAUAGUAGUGCGACCCGAAAGAUGGUGAACUAUACUAGUGCAGGGUGAAGUCAGAAGAAAUUCUGAUGGAAGCUCGAAGCGGUCCUGACGUGCAAAUCGGUCGUCUGACAUUAGUAUAGGGGCGAAAGACUAAUCGAACC